rnacentral:rRNA from 1 species
GACGGGGGGGGCAAGUGUUCUUCGGAAUGACUGGGCGUAAAGGGCACGUAGGCGGUGAAUCGGGUUGAAAGUGAAAGUCGCCAAAAAGUGGCGGAAUGCUCUCGAAACCAAUUCACUUGAGUGAGACAGAGGAGAGUGGAAUUUCGUGUGUAGGGGUGAAAUCCGUAAAUAUACGAAGGAACGCCAAAAGCGAAGGCAGCUCUCUGGGACGGUACUGACGCUGGGGUGCGAAAGCAUGGGGAGCGAACAGG